ACGGGUGAGUAAUGUCUGGGGAUCUGCCCGAUAGAGGGGGAUAACCACUGGAAACGGUGGCUAAUACCGCAUAACGUCGCAAGACCAAAGAGGGGGACCUUCGGGCCUCUCACUAUCGGAUGAACCCAGAUGGGAUUAGCUAGUAGGCGGGGUAACGGCCCACCUAGGCGACGAUCCCUAGCUGGUCUGAGAGGAUGACCAGCCACACUGGAACUGAGACACGGUCCAGACUCCUACGGGAGGCAGCAGUGGGGAAUAUUGCACAAUGGGCGCAAGCCUGAUGCAGCCAUGCCGCGUGUAUGAAGAAGGCCUUCGGGUUGUAAAGUACUUUCAGCGGGGAGGAAGGCAGUGAGGUUAAUAACCUUGUUGAUUGACGUUACCCGCAGAAGAAGCACCGGCUAACUCCGUGCCAGCAGCCGCGGUAAUACGGAGGGUGCAAGCGUUAAUCGGAAUUACUGGGCGUAAAGCGCACGCAGGCGGUCUGUUAAGUCAGAUGUGAAAUCCCCGGGCUUAACCUGGGAACUGCAUUUGAAACUGGCAGGCUUGAGUCUCGUAGAGGGGGGUAGAAUUCCAGGUGUAGCGGUGAAAUGCGUAGAGAUCUGGAGGAAUACCGGUGGCGAAGGCGGCCCCCUGGACGAAGACUGACGCUCAGGUGCGAAA
rnacentral:rRNA from 1 species